GGGAGCCCGGCGGACGCUGGGUCUGCAGAUGCCAUCCAGGCGCACGGCGGGUAUAGUGGUUCCGCAACCUUGGGAUGUUCGGCUGAGCGCCUGCCUAACAUGGGAGCGCCUGCCUAACCCUCCUGACUGGAGGGUCAGCGGCGGGGAGUCCUGGCCUUCAAUCGGCCAUCGCCACGGCAGAAACUGGGGCCCGGGCUGCGUCCAGGCCCUUCCCCGUCCGUCCACAGGUCUCAUGGGCGCCCGGACUGGGGCUGAUGUAGUUUCCCGACCUCUGACACAUAGGAUCUGGAGAUUAAAGCUGCUCUGCUAAUAAUUAGGUUCCCACCUCUCAAGAUCAUUAGGAGCUUCUUUUCCAAUUCCUCUGUUUUGCAUGCAUUGGAAGAUACCCCAUCAGCCUGAGUCUCUUAAAGGCCUUUAUACACAUAUGUCUACACAUAGGGAUUUGGAUGAUCUCGGGAUCCCACAUCCUCGCUGUCCCCUGUCCCCCCACAACAUCCCACACCAAUACCUUUCUGAAGUUUUCUAGUCCCUCCUUUUUGUUUGUGGUCCUUAAAGCCCAGCCCCAUGCCUGACUUUGGUUCCCAGUGAGCAUUGUACAUUUGUGGAUAUUAAAUCUUUGGCAAAGUCAUUUACCUGGGCUGGAAUAGGGCUCUUGGCUGAUUCUUUUUCCUAAACACCCACCCAAUGGGAGAGGCUGAUACUCAACAUGCAAACCUUGUGUUUUAUUUCUCCAGGCGAAGGGAUGUUGGAAGACAUUCUGGAAGGGGUGGGGUGUGAAGAUUUACAAAUAAUCUUUGAAUAUCUGCUUCAUGAUAGGUCUUGGAGGUGCCUUGUGGGUGUGGCUUUGGGGGGAUGGUUACGAGGAAAUUGUGGAUAUUAAGGAAGUCAGGAAAGGAAAAGAUCAGUCACAAUUCAACAAUUCAGAGAAAGCUCCUAAGGGACUUUCUGGCUGCUUGAUGCCCAGAGGCCAGGCCCUCACUUCGUAUUAAGGCUCAGGACUGUGGAUAGAGAAUUUAAAGGGGCACCAAAAAAACAUUAAAAUAGAUAAACAUAUUUUUAAUGGAAUACCUUUAAAAAUGCAAAUCAAUGCACAAAGAAAACGCCCA
rnacentral:lncRNA from 10 species